CCUCCAGUAGAGUUCCAGACCCUUGUAGAAUCCAUGUCGAGGUUCAUUGAAGCUGUUCUGGCUGCUGUUGAAGAAGGCCAAGCCCUCCAAGGAGCCCAAGAAGGAGAAGACAACAGCCGGGGAUUCUGGGAAGGGAAAGGGCAAAGGCAAGGGCAAAGCCAGGAAGUGACCCCUAACCUCUCAGACAACUACCCCCCAAAAAAGCGAACUGUACAACACCUCUUCUCUGACGUUCUGAAGAACAAACCCCUAAACGGUUUGACCGCCACCUACCUGGUCUUAUCACCGUGGCGACCGGAGACAGAACCCUGGCUCUCUUCUUGGACCCCUUUAAACUUAGGAUGUGCAUCCCUUCCCUAUGAAGGGAAAACCCUAUUCCCUAUAUAGUGCACUACUUUUGACCAGAGUCCCAUAGGGCCCUGGGUAUAAAGUGGUGCACUACUUUUGACCAGAGUCCCAUAGGGCCCUGGGUAUAAAGUAGUGCACUAUGAAGGGAAUAGGGUUUUCCCUUCAUAGUGCACUACUUUAUACCCAGGGCCCUAUGGGACUGGUCAAAAGUAGUGCACUACUUUAUACCCAGGGCCCUAUGGGACUCUGGUCUAAAGUAGUGCACUAUAUCGGGAAUAGGGUUUAUAUAGUAGUGGUUAUAUAGUAGUGCACUAUGAAGGGAAAACCCUAUUCCCUAUAAAGUAGUGCACUACUUUUGACCAGAGUCCCAUAGGGCCCUGGGUAUAGUAGUGCACUAUCAAGGGCAUAGGGUCCGCUUUGGGACUUUCCUACAUCUUGUUAGCGCUGUGGAUUUGGAAAGGUCUGAAUGAUAACUGUGUGUGUGUUUGUCAUGUAAAUAUGUACCUUGUCGUAUAUAAAGAUGCUGUUGCUUUCUACUGCUCAUCGUAGACGGGACCUUUCUGGUCUGAACCGUCGAGACCAACGGAUGGAUCAGUGAACGGCAGAAUAGUUCUGUUUUUUUUUUUUUUUGUUGUAAAGAUUUUCACUGAUAAAUGACGACUGUAUUUACGGUGUUGUG
ensembl:lncRNA